rnacentral:rRNA from 1 species
CCAACAGGGAAUGCCUCAGUAACGGCGAGUGAAGCGGCAAAAGCUCAAAUUUGAAAUCCUUCGGGAGUUGUAAUUUGUAGGUUGGGAGACCCCGCGGCUAGUGGCACCAAGUCCCUUGGAACAGGGCGCCUUAGAGGGUGAGAGCCCCGUAGGUACCACAACACCGUCUUGUGUCUCCUCUCCAAAGAGUCGAGUUGUUUGGGAAUGCAGCUCAAAGUGGGUGGUAAAUUCCAUCUAAAGCUAAAUACCGGCGAGAGACCGAUAGCGAACAAGUACAGUGAUGGAAAGAUGAAAAGCACUUUGAAAAGAGAGUGAAACAGUACGUGAAAUUGUUGAAAGGGAAGGGCUUGCAAGCAGACACGGCCUUCGUGCCGGGCCAGCAUCGGUUGCUAGGGGUGGAUAAGGAACAAGGAAUGUAGCUCCUCGGAGUAUUAUAGCCUUGCGCGAUACACCCACUGGCGACCGAGGCCUGCGGUAUUCCUACCUAGGAUGCUGGCGUAAUGGUUGCAAGCCGCCCGUCUUGAAACACCGGACACAA